UACAGAGGGUGCGAGCGUUAAUCGGAAUUACUGGGCGUAAAGCGCACGUAGUCGGCUUUGCAAGCCGGGUGUGAAAUCCCCGGGCUCAACCUGGGAACUGCAUCCGAGACUGCAUUGCUAGAGUAUGGGAGAGGGAAGCGGAAUUUCUGGUGUAGCAGUGAAAUGCGUAGAUAUCAGAAGGAACAUCAGUGGCGAAGGCGGCUUCCUGGACCAAUACUGACGAUCAGGUGGCGAAAGCGUGGGGAGCAAACAGG
rnacentral:rRNA from 1 species